CGAUCUGAGGUUCAACCUUGGGUCGACUGGAAGGCUUCAGUUUAACAACCUCUUCCGUCCAUGGAAUGGGUUUUGUAAUGGAAUCCUUUUUCCAAUCGAUGCGCAGAGAAGAUCUGCUCUCCUCCUCUUCACUUUCUUGCUCUUCAACUACGCUCUGUUCGAAGGUCUCAGUUUUCAAAGACUCGCGUCUUGUAACAGACACCUCGGUCUUCUUUGGUUUUUUCAGAGGCUGUAGAUCCACUCGUUCGACCUGCGGUUUUUCAACAGGUUGCUUUUGAGGCCUACUAGGCUUCAGUUGAACCUCCUGCAGAAUCGAUUCUUUCGUAACUUCCGUUUUUUCAACCUUAGACUUCCGCAAGGUAAUAUUUUCCUCCGUCCACGGUUUGGGAGUUUCUACUUUCUUGUGUUCGACGUCUUCCACUGUCGAUUUCUUAACUUGUAAGAGACUUGUGUCAUCUGAUUCCAGAUAUUCCAUCGUCGACGUAUCCUGUGAUUGGAAAUCACGAGUGAUUUUCAUCUGCUUGGUAGGCUUUGGUUCCAAUUUAUCAGUUUCCUGUUUCUCAGGCUUCGUCGGUCUCAAUUCGACGUCUUCUAUCGUUUCUUUGGGAACCUCUUUCUUUUCUACCUGUACCUUCUUCAGCGAAAUUUUCUCCUCCGUCCAUGGCUUGGGCUUAUCAACUUUUUUACGUUCGAUCUCUUCCACAGUCGAUUUUCUGACAUGCAAGCGACUCGUAUCAUCCGAUUCAAGAUAUUCCACGGUAGACUCUUCUUGCAAUCGAGAAUCACGCUCGACUACAUUCUGUUUACCAGGUAUUAAUUUCAAUUCACUUAUUUCCUGCUUCUCAGGUUUCACCGGUCUCAAUUCAACGUCCUCUAUUGUCUCCUUGGGUAUUUCUUUCUUCUCGACUUGCACCUUUUUCAAAGAGAUUUUUUCUUCGGUCCACGGCUUAGGUUUAUCAGAUGUCUUCUGUUGGACAUCCGUUCUACUGACCCUGCGUAUUUUCAAGAGCUUAGUCUCGUCCGUUUCUACGUAAUCGGUAGCGGAAUCGAUCAUUUCCUCUUCAACUUGCUCACUUUUCGGUUUGCUUUUCUUCAGCUGAAUCUUUUCUUCCGUCCAGGGAAUCGGUCCCUGCGUAGAAGGAGCUGUUCGAACUUCAUGUUCGUCAACGUCGGUGCUAAUGACAUCCUUGGAUAUGUGCUUGAGAUCCACGUGUUCAACGCUAGAUUUUCGAAUCUCUUUCUUUUCAGUCUUGACGCGUUUCAGUUCAACCUCUUCCAGUUUUUCUUUUGGAAUUUCCUUGAUCGUGUGCGGUGCUUUUUUCAGCACAACGUCUUCUUCCGUCCAAGGUUUUACCUGAUGUUCGAGUCUGGCCUGUUGUAAUUUGUCGAGAGAAGUGUCCCUCGACUUCGGCUUAGCCUUUCUCCACGGUGUUACGUUAGCUACCCGAGGUCUGUGUUUCACGCGUCCUUGACGCCACGGUAGCGUUUCGUCACCCGCUUGAAGAACUUCACCUAUCGGAUGACCUUCUUGGUCAAGCUCAAUCAAGCCAUCGCUAGGUCCCUGAAUUAUUCCGCCCUUACCGGCGGAACCUUUCAAUGGUCCCUGUCCGGAUUUCGCACCGGGGCCACUCUCAUCGAUCAAAGAUGUCUCAUAAAAAACACCUUGUCGUUCUGCAAUCAUUCAUUUAUACGGAAUACAUUCGUAUAGAUUUCGGUUCUAUUUUCCUGAUUGGAAAAAAAAAAAAAAC
rnacentral:misc_RNA from 1 species